rnacentral:rRNA from 1 species
AUGGCGUGCCGAGAGCCUCGAGAGCACCUCAACUUCCCAGAGAUCGAGAGUCGGGCGGAAGCGGAGAUGCUUGUGCCGCAGGGCAUCAAGAUGAAGGAGAUCACGACGAAGAAGACGAAGACGAAGAAGCCGUCAGUCGUUGUCAAUGCCGGCGAGACCGACGAGGAGGCGAUGACGAGGUUUGCUCGGGAGCAUCCGGAGUACAUCCAUGCUGAGCUGGAGUACUACCGGAAGCGUGAGGCGGAGCAGAAGAAGAAGGAGGACGAGGCCGGUCCCUCGACGGUGAUCCCCAUCGUGUCCUCUUCCGAGGAGGACUGGGCAGACUUCUCGGAGGAGGAGGAGGAGGAGGAGGGGUGCGAUGACUUGGAGAAGGAGGAGUUCUGGGCGCAGUUCCGCAGCUCCGACGAUGAGGAGUAG